UUGAAGUGAGGACUCAAGAACGCAGU
rnacentral:piRNA from 1 species